UCCUGUAUUUAAGGAAUGGGGGAGUUGAUGAUCGAGGUGCUUUGUUUUAUGCUAGACAGAAGAUGAAGUGGUGUGGUGUUCUCAUGCUGGCCUUGCUGCAGUCUUUGUGCUGCUCAGGCUUGCCCCUGUACCAGUCAGAGUUGGCGUCCACGGCAGACAAGGCUCUCGUCGUGACCAUGACCCAAGUCAACAAUCUGUACGCUGGCCUUCGUCUAUACCGAGUCACCCGUGGCUCUAUCAAAAGGGUUGUUCCUUUGGGAUUGAACACUUAUGACCUGAUGAUGAACUUUGGGAUCAAGGAGACAGACUGUCUGAAGAGCUCUGGAGAAGACCCACAGAGAUGUGCUUUCAGAGUGGGCUUCUUUGUGCCGGCCGCCUCCUGCACCGCACGUGUUCGCGUCACUGCAGAGGUCACUCAGGUUGUGUCCCUGAAAUGUGGCCAGGACAGCUCCAGCUCCGAGUCCAGCAGUGAAGAGAACUUCACGAGGAAGAGGCAGCAGUUGAACGUGCAACCAUUAGGGAACAGGGGCCCCGUCCUGCCUGCGCCUGGCUUCUCCGAGACCACUCGCUUUCCCAGCCACUCUUUCUCCAGACAAGAAGUGGAGCCUCAACUGAUCCCAAGGGGCGACAGCGUCGGCAACCACCUGGAGUGACUCGGCACGACACACCCGGAGUGUAUUCAAUGAUGUGAAACGUUACGAGUGUUGCAGAUAGAAUAGGGAAUUGUCAGCUCUAUACAGUACAAUUCUGAAUGACAACCAUAUAUGUUCUACACCAUACAUUUCUAUCUGAACGUGACAUUCUCCUGAUCAGGCCCUGACAGUACUCGUUGGAAAGCAGGGAGGUUCUGAUGGUGGCACUGGAACAUAAGAGAUCAUUCCCAAUUAAAUUGAUUACUCUUGUCUGAA